GGGGAAAAGACAGCAAGAUGGAAAUCUAGGCACCAUAAUAACCCCAUUGAUUUGUGCACUGGCAUACUACUUCUGUUAGGGAAUAGACACUUUGUGGAAUCACCUAGGAGUCCCAGCCAAGAUCAGUGCCCCAUCGUGCGGGCACUGGAAAGACACAGCCCCUACCCCAAAGUCCUCACCAUCUCAUCAGACAAGACAGGCAAAGGGUGAAGAUUAAACAGAGGCACAGAGAGGAGAAGGGAUUUGCAUGUGGUCACACGCAGAGUGCCAUCAAACAACUGUGUAUUGCACAUCCAAGGAUCUCACUUGGAUUUCCUUAGAAAAAUGCGUAUAUGUUGUUGAAGAAGCAGAAAAGACUCCAAGGAAUUUGAAGAUUGAGCUGUCUGGAAGCUGUGAAAACCAACCCAUAUGUACCCAAGCACUUCUGCGGACUAAGCAAGAGAUGUAGUUACACUGGCAACACUUUCCCAUCAAACAAGGGAAUAUCUGUUGAUCCCGAAGUACUGGUAAAUUUGCAGCUUCUGAUUUUUGUUGCUGAAGAACUAGAAAACGUCAGUGAAAAUGAAGUUUGUUCCUUAAAAAGUUCCCUUGUGAUUAAAAGCCAU